GAUGAAGAUAUUAAGGGCACACGGUGGAUGCCUUGGCAUAGGAAGCCGACGAAGGACGUGGCAAGCUGCGAUAAGCCGCGGUGAGGGGCAAGCACCCUUCGACCCGCGGAUCUCCGAAUGGGGGAACCCUGCUGGGGUCGAGCCCAGCAACGGCAGGCUGAAUACAUAGGCCUGCGCGAGGCAACCCGGGGAACUGAAACAUCUAAGUACCCGGAGGAAAGGAAAUCAACCGAGACUGCGCGAGUAGCGGCGAGCGAAAGCGCAAGAGCCUAAACCCGUGCGCGUGUAAGCCUCCAGGCGUUGCCGCACGUGGGGUAGUGGGACCCUCCGUCCCGUCGCUGGAGCG
rnacentral:ncRNA from 1 species